rnacentral:rRNA from 1 species
UACGUAGGGGGCGAGCGUUGUCCGGAUUUAUUGGGCGUAAAGAGCUCGUAGGCGGUUUGGUAAGUCGGGUGUGAAAUCUCCACGCUCAACGUGGAGGGGCCACUCGAUACUGCCAUGACUCGAGUCCGGUAGAGGAGUGUGGAAUUCCCGGUGUAGCGGUGAAAUGCGCAGAUAUCGGGAGGAACACCGAUGGCGAAGGCAGGUCUCUGGGCAUUAACUGACGCUGAGGAGCGAAAGCAUGGGGAGCGAACAGG